CUUAUCAAAGACGUCUCCACAGCUAGGUGGAGACCACCUUCGCCGUCAGCCGGGAUCAAAGACGUCUUCACAGGUGGGUGGAGACCACCAUCGCCGUGAACCGGGCCAACCUCCUCCAAGUCGACGUCUUGACCUCAUCAAAGAAGUCUCCCUCAAGGACCGCGAGCUCAGGAUUGUGGGCGAGGUCGGUGCCAAGAUCCGAGUCUUAGACUUCAUUUCUCCCGAUGUCCAGGUUCUAAAUUUAAUGGUUUAAAAACCCGAAUUGAAGACGUAGCUGGAAGAAGAAGAAGAGGACGUGUAGUACUAAGGAAAAGAAAGCUGAGAAGGACACAAUUGUUUGUUACUCAAAAGGCGCUUGUAUCCUAAUUAUUUGGCGAGUUCUAUAUAAAGGGAAAAAAAUGAGCGAAUGCGAUGGUCUUGAAG